rnacentral:rRNA from 1 species
GAAAUUCCGAUUCGUCGGGAGAGUAAAGUGGCGAACGGGUGAGUAAUACAAGGGUAAUCUGCCCUUAAAUUAGGGAUAACCUUGCANAAAGCGAAGCUAAUACCUGAUAAGACUACGAGCUCUUAGGAGAUUGUAGGAAAAGAUGGCCUCUGUUUCAAGCUAUCGUUUAAGGAUGAGCCCUUGCACUAUUAGCUUGUUGGCGGGGUAACGGCCCACCAAGGCUACGAUGGUUAGCUGGUCUGAGAGGAUGACCAGCCACACUGGAACUGAGACACGGUCCAGACUCCUACGGGAGGCAGCAGUGAGGAAUAUUGCGCAAUGGGGGAAACCCUGACGCAGUGACGCCGCGUGAGUGAUGAAGGCUUUCGAGUCGUAAAGCUCUGUUAGGUGGAAAGAAAUAUUCCAGUGCCAAUACCACUGGAACUUGACGGUACCACCAGAGGAAGCACCGGCUAACUCCGUGCCAGCAGCCGCGGUAAUACGGNAGGGUGCAAGCGUUGUUCGGAAUUACUGGGCGUAAAAGGGCGUGUAGGCGGUUAGGCAAAGUCAGGUGUUGAAAUCCCUUGGCUCAACCAAGGGAAGUGCGCUUGAAACUGCUUAACU